rnacentral:tRNA from 1 species
AAGGAUUUAAGUUAAACAAAACUAGCAACCUUCAAAGUUGCCAAUAAAGACUAUCCUUUAAGCCUUA